CGCACCUUGCGCUCCUUGGUAUUCCGAGGAGCAUGCCUGUUUGAGUGUCAUGUUUUUCUCAGUCCUCUUCCAUUUAUUUGUAAGAUGGCACUGGAAUUGGAGGCUGCUGGAUUACAAUUCUUAAUUCGGCUUCUCUUAAAUGCGUUAGUAUGAAUAAGGUUAUUUAUUCUACGGUGUGAUAAUUGUCUACACUGUUUGAAUUUAUGGCUUCAUGCUUCGAACAGUCUGAAAGGACACUAUUCUAUUGCAUUUGACCUCAAAUCAGGUAGGACUACCCGCUGAACUUAA
rnacentral:misc_RNA from 1 species